UACGUAGGGUGCGAGCGUUAAUCGGAAUUACUGGGCGUAAAGCGUGCGCAGGCGGUUUUGUAAGACAGUUGUGAAAUCCCCGGGCUCAACCUGGGAAUUGCAUCUGUGACUGCACAGCUAGAGUACGGUAGAGGGGGAUGGAAUUCCGCGUGUAGCAGUGAAAUGCGUAGAUAUGCGGAGGAACACCGAUGGCGAAGGCAAUCCCCUGGACCUGUACUGACGCUCAUGCACGAAAGCGUGGGGAGCAAACAGG
rnacentral:rRNA from 1 species